rnacentral:Y_RNA from 1 species
GGCUGGUCCAAGUGCAGUGGUGUUUACAACUAAUUGAUCACAACCAGUUACAGAUUUCUUUGUUCCUUCUCCACUCCCACCGCUUCACUUGACUAGCCUUAA